rnacentral:rRNA from 1 species
UGGGGAAUAUUGGGACAAUGGGCGCAAGCCUGAUCCAGCCAUGCCGCGUGAGUGAUGAAGGGCCCUAGGGUUGUAAAGCUCUUUUGUGCGGGGAAGAUUAAUGACUGUACCGCAAGAAUAAGCCCCGGCUAACCUUCGUGCCAGCAGCCGCGGUAAUACGAAGGGGGGCUAGCGUUGCUCGGAAUCACUGGGCGUAAAGCGCACGUAGGCGGACUCUUAAGUCGGUGGUGAAAUCCUGGAGCUCAACUCCAGAACUGCCUUCGAUACUGGGGAGUCUCGAGUUCGGGAGAGGUGAGUGGAACUCGAGUGUAGAGGUGAAAUUCGUAGAUAUUCGCAAGAACGCCAGUGGCGAAGGCGGCUCACUGGCCCGAUACUGACGCUGAGGUGCGAAAGCGUGGGGAGCAAACAGGAUUAGAUACCCCUGGUAGUCCACGCCGUAAACGAUGAAUGCUAGCCGUUGGUGGGUUUACCCUUCAGUGGCGCAGCUAACGCUUUAAGCAUUCCGCCUGGGGGAGUACGGUCGCAAGAUUAAAACUCAAAGGAAUUGACGGGGUCAUAGCUGUUU